UCAAAGAGUUUAACAUGCUCCGCGAGUCAAUGGGUGUGUAACACGUCGUYCACGAAACCCAAAGGCGAAGUGAAAGUGAAGGCCUUGUUUAGGUUUGUUGAUGUCCCCGUGGCGUCUUCAUUCUUGACAGGCUGAGGUGAGAUCCCGUACGGCACCUGAGCAUACCUGGUCAUGCAGUAAUGGACCGGCGGGCGCAUCACCGGCCCGUCCCAUGGUGUACUUCACCGGGGCGGAGCUAGAGCGUACAUGUUGAGACCCGAAAGAUGGUGAACUAUGCUUGCGCAGGUUGAAGCCGGAGGAAACUCUGGUGGAGGACCGUAACGAUUCUGACGUGUAAAUCGAUCGUAUGACGUGAGUAUAGGGGCGAAAGACUAAUCGAACCAUCUAGUAGCUGGUUCCCUCUGAAGUUUCCCUCAGGAUAGCUGGUGCUCAUAUUGUAUAAACUGUUUUAUCCGGUAAAGCGAAUGAUUAGAGGCAUUGGGAGCGUAAUGCUCUCAACCUAUUCUCAAACUUUAAAUGGGUGAGAUGCCGGGCUCGCUCAAUUGGAGUCGCGGCUUUGAAAGUUGAGUGCCAAGUGGGCCAUUUUUGGUAACCAGAACUGGCGCUGUGGGAAUGAACCAAACUCCGGCUAAGGUGCCUAACGCGAACGCUCAUGAGAUACCACAAAAGGUGUUGGUUGAUAUAGACAGCAGGACGGUGGCCAUGGUAGUUGGAAUCCGCUAAGGAGUGUGUAACAACUCACAUGCCGAAUCAACCAGCCCUGAAAAUGGAUGGCGCUAGAGCGUCGGACAUAUACCGGACCGUCUGUGCAAGCCGAGUUCAGGAGCAAGUGAUUGCAGACGAGAUCAGGCAUCGGCCUCGAACUCGGCAGUACACCGUGACUGUCGGUUCGGGUCGGUAGCGCAUGACUCGGGCAAGAAAGCAUAGACGAGUAAGAGGGUCUCCGUGGUGUGCGAAGAAGCUUCGGGCGUGAGUCCGGGUGGAGCCGCCACGGGUGCAGAUMUUGGUGGUAGUAGCAAAUAUUCARGCGAGAAC
rnacentral:rRNA from 2 species